GACUGGAGCUGCUGAGCCCGAUUUGCUUCGGUCGUUUUCGUUGGGACGAAGACGAAGACGAAGCCGCCGCCGGUUUCCUGUCUCGUUUCACACGAUCGACAUGGAGUUUUUUUUUUCUUUUCCGUUUUUCACGAUGUUUUCAGAUAGGGUAGACAUGUUAUACUGCUGUGUAAUGUAUAUGCUGAAACUGUGAUGCUCUCGCCAUGAUCUGUUGCUGUAGUUUAGCUGAUGCUUAGAGGAGAAAGUACUACGAGUAGCUCUACGUAUAAAGAUACAUUACUUUUGUGCAUAGUGUUAGAAAAAGUGCCAACAAAAUCGAUCAUCUCGUGUUGCUCUUGUUCGGCUCCGUUCUGUAGAUAUUUGGUAAGACAAAACGGCUUUGUAAUUUGUUACUUGCUUGAUGG
rnacentral:sRNA from 1 species